UGGGUUGUGGGGUGCGGUCCCCGACGAGUCUUUGGAACUCGUGUACGAAGGUUCGAGUCCUUCCAACCCAGCCC
rnacentral:tRNA from 1 species